rnacentral:tRNA from 1 species
GGGCGCUUGGUCUAGGGGUAUGAUUUUCGCUUCGCAUCCUUUGAACUCUCCCGAGAAGUUCAGAUGCGCUAAUCUGUGAAAGGUCGUGGGUUCAAUUCCCACAGUGUCCA